UUGGAGGGCAAGUCUGGUGCCAGCAGCCGCGGUAAUUCCAGCUCCAAUAGCGUAUAUUAAAGUUGUUGCAGUUAAAAAGCUCGUAGUUGAAUUUCGGGAUCAUCAGGUUGGUCGUGCCUCUGGUAUGUACUUUCCUCGAUGGUUCCUCCUUCUUGAAGAACCGUAAUGCCAUUAAUUUGGUGUUGCGGGGAAUCAGGACUGUUACUUUGAAAAAAUUAGAGUGUUUAAAGCAGGCAAUCGCUUGAAUACAUUAGCAUGGAAUAAUGAAAUAGGACGUUCGAUCCUAUUUUGUUGGUUUCUAGGAUUGACGUAAUGAUUAAUAGGGAUAGUUGGGGGCAUUAGUAUUCAAUUGUCAGAGGUGAAAUUCUUGGAUUUAUUGAAGACUAACUACUGCGAAAGCAUUUGCCAAGGAUGUUUUCAUUAAUCAAGAACGAAAGUUAGGGGAUCGAAGACGAUCAGAUACCGUCGUAGUCUUAACCAUAAACUAUGCCGACUAGGGAUCGGAUGAUGUUAAUUUUUUAAUGACUCAUUCGGCGCCUUACGGGAAA
rnacentral:rRNA from 1 species